UACGAAGGGGGCUAGCGUUGCUCGGAAUGACUGGGCGUAAAGGGCGCGUAGGCGGAUUGUACAGUCAGGCGUGAAAUUCCCGGGCUCAACCUGGGGGCUGCGCUUGAGACGUGCGAUCUUGAGUGGGGAAGAGGGUCGUGGAAUUCCCAGUGUAGAGGUGAAAUUCGUAGAUAUUCGGAAGAACACCAGUGGCGAAGGCGACUGACUGGACAUGUAUUGACGCUGAGGUGCGAAAGCGUGGGGAGCAAACAGG
rnacentral:rRNA from 1 species